rnacentral:rRNA from 1 species
GACAGAGGGUGCAAACGUUGUUCGGAAUUACUGAGCGUAAAGCGUGUGUAGGCGGCUAUGUAAGUCGGAUGUGAAAGCCCCGGGCUCAACUCGGGAAGUGCACUCGAUACUGCGUAGCUUGAGUACCGGAGAGGUUGGUGGAAUUCUCGGUGUAGAGGUGAAAUUCGUAGAUAUCGAGAGGAACACCGGUGGCGAAGGCGGCCAACUGGACGAGUACUGACGCUGAGACACGAAAGCGUGGGGAGCAAACAGG